UGGGGAAUAUUGCACAAUGGAGGGAACUCUGAUGCAGCGACGCCGCGUGUGUGAUGAAGGAAUUCGUUUCGUAAAACUCUGUUCUAUGGGAAGAAAAGGACUGUACCAUAGGAGAAAGCUCCGGCUAAAUACGUGCCAGCAGCCGCGGUAAUACGUAUGGAGCGAGCGUUGUCCGGAAUUAUUGGGCGUAAAGGGUGCGCAGGCGGCUUUACAAGUUGGAUGUGAAAUAUUGUGGCUCAACCACAAACGUGCAUCCAAAACUGCAAAGCUUGAGUUAAGGAGAAGUAAGUGGAAUUCCUGGUGUAGCGGUGGAAUGCGUAGAUAUCAGGAGGAAUACCGGUGGCGAAGGCGACUUACUGGACUUAAACUGACGCUCAGGCACGAAAGCGUGGGGAGCAAACAGG
rnacentral:rRNA from 1 species